GAAAGAAAGUGAAAGAAAGAAAGAAAGAGAAAGAAAGAAAGAAAGAGAAAGAAAGAAAGAGAAAGAAAGAAAGAAAGAGAAAGAAAGAAAGAGAAAGGAAGGAAAAAUAAUGGUUAGAAAAAUAUAGAAGAAGGGAGAGACAAAAUGAGAAAAAGUGGAAAAAAAAAUACAGUGAAAAUAACUGAGAACUGAGAAAAUAAAUAAAUAAACACUGCUGGAUCACUGAACCAGAACCAGAACAGAAUAAAACCCGCUGCUGAAUGAAUGCAUUUUCUCACAGUAAACAUAGUAAACACUCUGACUCAGAUAUUUGCAGUCCGUUGUUGACAUGUCCCAAACCACACACACACACACACACACACACACACACACACACCUUCCUCCGCAUAUGAUAUGCAUGCUCAUCAUAAAUAAUGGUGCUAGAAAACUCUAAAGACAUAAAUAAACGAGACAAUAAACGAAAAGAUGAGUGAUUAAAUUCAUCCUCAAGAUGUGAUUCAUCAGAGCUGCGAUUGGAAUCGACUGAGAACAAUCCAGAAAAUUCUAUUACCCUCAGGGAAUAAAAAGGAAUUAUAAACAACAGACAAGUAGUCUGGAAUGAGGAUGAAACUAGAGAGACAGAGAAAGAGAUAAUCACAUAAACACACACACACACACACACACACACACACACACACACACACACACACACACACAACGCCUUUCUAACACUAAUAAGAGGAGAAGUGUAGCUUCAACAUUUCAGUGACCAGCUCGAUUAAGCUUUCCGUUCAUCACUGUCACUAAUACAGAGCGGAAAACUACACACACACACACACACACACACACACACACACACACACACACACACACACACCUCUCGAUGGGAGUUUCAACAGAAUCUAGUCAGAUCUCACACUUUCCUGACUCAGGAGACUUAGUGCAAAGUGUGUGUGUGUGUGUGUGACACACUUUAGACCAAUACCUCUCACACUCUGACCACGGCUAAACCCAAUGAGGCUACAACUCGGGAAUUUAGUGUCAUAUUCAAUCACAGAGUGCCAUUAUCAUUCUGUAACUGAAACACACACACACACACACACACACACACACAUCAUGAGAGAGAAGUUAAGAGGUGGUAGUGCAUUAGUGGUAGGUAACUGAACGCUAAUGGAUUCCUUGUGGGAAGAAUGUGUGGUUGGAGAGAAAACCAUACAGAGCCAUUAGCACCUCUGUGAUAGAACACACACACACACACACACACACACUCACACACAAACACACACACACACACACAUGUUCUAUCUUUGUGGUAUUUGCAGUGACUUACCUUUAACCAUAACAUUAACCUCAAUAACUAUAGAGGGGAAUGUGGGCGUGUCAUAGUAGCUUUGAGUGGGCGUGCACCUAAAGGUUAUAAACUGGAAUGUGGGCGUGUCAUAGUAGCUCUGAGUGGGCGUGCACCUAAAGGUUAUAGAAGGGAAUGUGGGCGUGUCAUAGUAGCUCUGAGUGGGCGUGCACUUAAAGGUUAUAGACUGGGAUGUAGGAGUGUCAUAGUAGCUCUGAGUGGGCGUGCACCUAAAGGUUAUAGACUGGGAUGUAGGAGUGUCAUAGUAGCUCUGAGUGGGCGUGCACCUAAAGGUUAUAGACUGGGAUGUAGGCGUGUCAUAGUAGCUCUGAGUGGGCGUGCACCUAAAUGUUAUAAACUGGAAUGUGGGCAUGUCAUAGUAGCUCUGAGAAGGAAUUAUCUUUCGUACAGGGGAAUAAAGAUAGUCAUCUUAAAACGAACAAAUCUUGUCUAAACUCGAAGCCACGCCCACCUGUAACCCACAAAGCCCACCGCUCUACAUCCUGCUACCUUCCGCUAAUUUCCUGAUUGACGUGUUUAUCAAAGCGAGCCCGUUAAAUCAGGUUUCCCUCGUCCUCGCUUCGCUCUUCUCCUCUGAACCUGAUUGAUUCUUAUUUUACUUAAAUAAAACUAACAACAGAACAGAAACAGAGCUCAUUAAUCACAGGAUAAACCAACAGUAAACUCUCCGGGUAAAUCUGGCAGACAGUGAUCGAACCCGCGCUCGAUCGUUCCUCAAAUAAAGCUGCGGUUUCUCUCUGUUCCCUAAACAGGCGAUAGAGAACCGAUUGGAGCGAUACGGCGGGUCGGUGUUAUUAAGAGCGACGGAUCCGGGGCAAAAAAAUUCACAGGUUUCAACCAUUUAUUUAUAAAAAAUAGAGGAAAUGACAGAAGAAUGCUAACUUUAGAUAGAUGAAGAGGGAUUCUGGAAAGAUUUUGGUCUUGUGCAUGGAGUUUAUUGGUAAAAGGGGAGUAAAUAAUUAUUCAUGCACGACACACGACACAGAUAAUCAGUAUAAAUGUAAACAGUGAAGACUGAUGAGCAUAUUGUCGGUGGGAGUGAUUGGGUUCUGAGUCGUUUGUCUUAAUUCGGUUCCGUUCAGGAUGAUCUAUAUAUCCGUUUGUCUGUCUACACCGGGUUCCUGGUUCAUUAGCUUCACCUCCCACAUUCGCACAAAUGAAUUCAUCAACGAUAUGUCACAUGACUGCGGCGUGGUAUAAAUCAGACACGUCGGUUCUGAGUAAUGAUUGGAAUUCUGAUUUUUCUCAGUGAGUCACCGAGAAGAGUCGACUCCCAAAUGAUUCAUUACUGGUUUUUUUUUUUUUUUUCUUUUCUUUGCAAUAUUAUGACCAUUGACUGUUUGUCUCUGCCUAACUAUGGUUGAAAUUGUUCCAUGAAAUCUUAUUCAAAUGACCGAAAUAAUAUUUCUCAGCACUCUAUUAAAAAAAAAAACUGUUUACUAAAAUUGUUUAUUACAAAAAAAUCAACACGGAGUUGACUCGUACAAUAAACAUUAUUGCAUUAAUGUUAUUGUGCUAUUGUGUCUGUGCUUCACUAAGAAAAUUCAUCUCCAUUCAUCCUGAAAAUGAACCGCCUUUGUUUAACACAUUUUUUCACACGACUGAGAGUCAAACACAAGACUCAGGCAAACAAGUAAAGCGGAGUAAAGUGAAGGUGGAGAGAGUGAAGACGGAGUAAAGUGAAGGUGGAGAGCGUGAAGGUGGUGUAAGGUUGAGGUGGAGUAAAGUGAAGGUGGAAAAAUUGAAGAUGGAGGAAGUAAAGUUGGAGAGAGUGACGGUGAAGUAAGGGGAAGAUGGAGGAAGUGAAGUUGGAGAGAGUGAAGGUGGAGGAAGUGCAGUUGGAGAGAGUGAUGAUGGAGAGAGUGAAGGUAGAUAAAGUUUCUAAAGGUGCUCAUUUAUUAUAAGACUAAAGUCAUUUAGUCUUUUUGUGACACGCCUUUUCUGUUUUUAUUUACAAAAACAUUUUAAACUUAUUUAAACCUCUGUGCUGUAAAUACAGCCACGUUGUUGGCGGUGAGUCGUACAGCGUGUUAACAGGUAGGGGUUUUUCGUAUAAUUUAAAUGAUUGAACUUUUUCUCGAUUGCUUAAAACACAUGUAUUGAAAUUAUGCCUGCUUUUCUCGAAACUCUAAACACAAAUCCAUAACUUCUCACCCAAUUCCCCAAACUUCCUAUCUUCAGGUCAGAAUGAAGCUCUCCACUCAAACCCAUUCAAUCUUGCUGAAAAACCAAACUUUGCCCUCAGACAUCACACACAAGCCCUGAAAAACACCCACACUACAAUAUAGUCUUACACACUGGUGAGAUCAAUUCAAAACACACUACAAAAACAGGUAAUAAGGCAUGUUCUUUGUGGUUCUCAACCUCAAUAACCUUUUCACAUGAUAAACAGAAGAAAAGACAAAACAAAUGUAUACAUUUGCACAUUUUUUAUUCCUUAAUACUGUACAGUAUUCUUCCCCAGCAUCCCAUCUUCGGUCUGGGACAGGCCAGAGAAUCUCGUCAACAUGACAGGCUAUAUUGGCCAUAGCCAGGCAGUGGGGGUAAAAUCCUCUUGCAUGCCUGAUCCACCCCUGGCACGCAUCAACUGAAAUGUCUAGGCAGGCUUCUUCCAUGGCCUGGAGGACGCAAACACGGAUGUGAGGUUGUCGGCCAAACAUUUUCCAUCGCCAUGCCGAAAAAAACUCCUCUAUCGGGUUUAGGAAGAGAGAGUAUGCAGGUGGAAAGAUGUUGGACAACGUCGGGUUAUUGAUAAACCAGUCACGAACCAGAGCAGCGCGAUGGAAAUUGAUGUUAUCCCAAACAACAGUGUAGUAGGGUUGCUCUGGUUAUACUGGCUCCCUCUAGUCAAGCUGGAACACAUGCUCUCUUAGACCAUCAAGGAAACCAAAGAAGAGCAUAGUGUUAUAGGGUCCAAGAACGGCAUAGCGGUGGAGUACCCCUCGUUGGCUGAUGGCCGUACACCUAUCGAUGUUCCCUCCUCGCUGGCCAGAGACAUUCACAAUAGCCCAAUGGCCAAUUAUGUUCCUCCCCCUUCUCCUUCUUUUCAAGUUAAAUCCAGCCUCAUCAACCUAGCCGGCCUUCAAUCUCUCUGCAAAACACAUGAAACACAGUAGAGUAAAUGGCUACCCUGUAACACAGGGUACAAACGGCAGACCACCAUUUGUACUUUGUGCUACGGUAUAAACUGCUGUACUACUGUACUGUGUUGGUCUUUCACUCUGUCAUAGUUUCGUUCGAAAGGGACGCGGUAGGCCGGUUCAUCCGGAACCUGUGCUCUCGGAGGAUGCGAUCAAUCGUGCAGAGGCCGAUGGCAUUUAUCCCUCGAAAUCCGUGAUUGUCUUCAAUCACUCUCCUUUGAAUCUCUCACAGGUGGAUUACACUGUUGUCAAUGACCAUAUUUACCAGCUCCCUCUCUUGCUCCUUCGACAAACGCCUUAGCCUGCCUCCACCAGGUGGUCGUCUCUGUGUCUUACAAAAAUAGAAGUACUGAUUACUGUAACUGUAACAUCCCUGCCUCCGUCAUGGUCCGAGAUCUGACACUGGAGAUCCGAGAUCCCUUAUCCGAGUCUGCUUGUCUCCUUGCCCUUCCUUGUUGUUAUCCUCCUCCUCCUCCUCCUCUCCCUACUCCUCCACUCCCCCCUUUCCUCCUCUUUCUACUCCUCCUCCACCACCUCCUC
ensembl:lncRNA